rnacentral:lncRNA from 1 species
GAGGAUUUUUACGCGCGAGCGAGGUAAGUGUUAAGUUUUCAUUUAAAAAACAACGUUUGAAUUAAGUAAGCAUGCUCUGCAAAUAAAAGCAAACAAUAUAAAAGAUUGAUAUAUUUUGUCGCAUAUCAAUUAGUAUGCAACAGCUACAGGGGUUUUAUUUAUUUGUCACGCAUAUUGAUUGACAAAUAUUAUGUCAUGCAAAAAAAUCUUAAAUGUAAAUGUCAACACAGUUUUUAUAAUAUAUGCAUAUACAUAUCGAUUCCUGCAAUAGAAAAAAAAAACAAUUAAUGUAGUACGCAGUGGCGGAUUCACAAAUUGUCAUAAAGGGGGAGGGGCAGUGACUGCUUAAGAGGGGCCGCUCCAGUCAUAAUUCAGUGAUUCCCUAUAUAAUCAACAUUUUUCCCCCCACAAAAUGGGGAGAGGGCAGAAAAACCCUCCAAAUCUGCUUCUUGUACGACAUCUAUAUAGUUAGUAAACAACAUACCUGUACGAACGGCAGUACAACAUAUAGAGAAGUCACGAAUAAGGAUUUUUAUUAGCUUAGAGCUUCAUUUUCCGAAUAAGAUGGGAGGUUUUGACAAAACAAGAUAUUACCAAAUUGUCAAUAUGCUUGUUGUAUUCAGGUAAACCAAAAUCUCAAUAAACCAUCUAUCUUCGAUUAGGUUUGAAAUGGAAAGUGCAUCAAUAAGGUCAUUGACCGUUACCUAUGAAUUAUUUUAGGCGUUUUAGUUAUUGUGAACAUGUAAUAAGUUAUAAAUACAAUGUUGAAAAGAUGAGUGUGGGAGGGUUUAUAUAGGUGAAUACUCGGGUGAAUACUCUCUGUCUAUAUAUUUCAUACCUGUAUUGUUAAUCAGCAUACUUCUAAAGUAUAUUUUCAUCAGUAGAAUUAGCUUCGAAUAUAUUCUAUCAAUAUGUGAUGCACUUAACAAUAUAAAACCACAAGAGCAAACUGACACGUGUCUCUUAUUGCAUGAUAGCACUUUAUAUGGAAUUCCAGCUGGUUCGAAAAACAAUCACAUCCUAUAAGCCAUAAAAAGAAUAACGAGCUAGAAAUUAAAAAAUCCUAAUCUUCAAUGAAAUAAAUACCACUGAGACCAUCAUCAACUAAUUGUAUAGACAUUUCUAGAGUUUUGUAACUGGUCUAUAUAAAACAAAAACAUAUAAUUAACUAGUACUAAACAUAUUCUGACUGAUUUUGGUCUCUCCUGAUAAUGUAUUCAAUUUAUUUAUUCACCACAUGUUUUCAAAAAUGUACUAACUUUUGACCAAUUUUUCAUAGAAACUUUAAUCUUUUAACAUACAAAUCAAUGUAUUUUGACGUAUAUGUAAAUUUAAUUCUUCCGCCUUUAAUUUUUAAAUGCAAACAUGAUUUAUGUGAUUUUAAGAAAACGUAAGUUUAUUUGUGUGAAGCCAUUUUUCUUCACAGUUGAAAGGACAUUCUGACAAAUGUUUACGAAUUUGAAUGGCUUGUUUACAAUGCUAUAUGUACUCUCACCUAGGUGGCAAGUGCUAUAUGUUAUCGUAUGGAAGACAAUGAAUUGAAAGCUGAUCAAACAAUUUUUAAUUGAAAUCUAAUAUUUUUUUAAUGCCUCCCAUCUGGUUCGCAUGUUUCUCCUAGCUUUAUAUAAAUGUAUUUUAUUGAGACACCCAAGCUGAUUGACGAGUAUAAGUGCCGAAACCCCAACACCCAUCCGUACGGAAAAAAGAAUGUAAGUGAAAAAAUGGCAAGAUACCAGUAAAUGUUAAUAUGUAUCUUUCUCUAUAUUAUUUAAUUUAUCAGUACUUAAUUGUAUCAAGGAACAUUAAAUCAAAUUCUUCCAGUUUCAUACAGUAAAGCAUGAAUAUCCAUCUUCAACUUUCUUAUUUUGAUACAUUCAGCCAUAAUGAUUUCUUCUACGGCCUGUUACCUUGCAAAUUUCAUAAAAACGAAACAAAAACUAGUAAUGUGGAUCUUGGAAAGUCUGAUGUUUCUGUGACUGGAUUUUUAUAUUCGACUACACGAAAUGAAUACAAAAAUGUAUAAAAUACGAUAUGGAACGAAAAUGUAAAAUCUAUGUAAUUUCUUUAGAGUUCGAAUAGUUUAAAAAAAAAAAGCUAUUAAACUAACUAACAGACUACAACUAAUGAAUCAACAGUUCAGAGAAUUAAAGCAUUCAAAAUGUUGAUUUUGGAUUUUUUUUAAACUGUGAACACUGUCAGUUAUCGAUAUUGUCGAUAUCGAUAUAAAUACAAUGAUAAAGAAUAUUGAAAGUGCGACUGAGCAAGGUUGCUCCAUAGACAUUACAUGAUUAUUAUGGAGCGUUUGUCGAAAGAAGUGAUUAAAAGAUUUAUGGUAGUACUAAAUAACAAUAUUGUUACACGGCUUGACAUCAGAACAAAACUGUUUAUUAAAUAUUGCUUCAUCCAUGUCUUCCUCUACCAUUCAAUACCCACCUUCUUUUCUAAGAGGGGCCUCGGUGGCCGAGUGGUCUAAAUAGUUACUUCUAUAAUCACUAGCCAGUCAACACUGAGGUUGUGAGUUCGAACCCCGCGUGCCCGCCCGCGUGUGCACUCGACUCCAAUCUAAAUUCUCCGGCUUCAUCCGCCAAUAAAAAACUGGCCGCCACGAAAUCAAAUAGCCCAAAAGCGGUGUUUAAUAGUUGCGUUAAAACACAAAAAAAAUAAUAUUUUAUGUAUACUUUCCUCUAUUUAACAUGUUUAACAAUUUAAAAUACGGAACAAAAUUGAUUCAUGCAUUUCAAUUUAAACUACCUUAUGAAAUCUACACCACUGUAUUAUUUUCACCAUAAAAUAUCGAUACCUGUGUGAUUCACGGUAUGUUAAUUUAAGGUCAAAAUUUGAUUUAUAUAAAAUGACAUUUUCCAGCUGUUAUCUUGUUGAUGAAUCUUUACAACUUGUUAUACUAUAGCAAUGAAAUUAAAAUUUAUCACUUCCAUUUAAAGUCAUCUUACAAUAGAUCUCGUAUGCUUCAUACACAUAUCCUUUAUUUUGGCGCCAAAAAGACAUUGCAUAAACGUCAGUAUGUAUACACCAAGAAAGGUGUGGAAGAGGAACAGAGACAAGUAUAUAUAUGAAGCUGAAGAGGCACAGAUAUCAAAGACAAGUUGAAAGAAAGUUUAUAGAUAUCUUACUGAAAGCAAACAUACAUUUAUGAACUAAAGCUGUGCGAACUAACUAGACGCAGAAGUGUCACCAUUGGCGUACGGGAUUACUUUUCCUACACCCUUUUCCUUUCUUUUUCUUUGUGAUGAUGUUACAUCUUAUUGGGUAACACACGUUAUAUUUUCAACACUUUGAUUUCAAUUUUUUCCCACUUUUGUAGCAGAAUUAUUCAAAGACAUUAUGAUUCAAUUCAACACUCUCCUUUUUCGACUGCAGUCAAACCUUAAUUGUAAAACCUCUGUUGUAGUCGUCUAAUAACAUUUUGUUGACAUUAAACAAGCCGAAUACUCGCAAUUGUCUUUAAUAAGGCAAUACAAACUAUCUCCAUCUUCAUUGAAACCAGAUGACCAGCGAGCCUUUAUGUUAUAAUGGAUAAUAAGACCUUCAAGUCUGUUUUCUUAGUUUCUUGAUCAACCGAAAGAUAUAUAAUAUAACACGUCUUGUGUGUUUUUUUCUUCAUUUUCUAUUCUUUAAUACUGUUAGAGAAUGUCUGGUGUGAAGCUAUAAUACCUCGUUUUCGUUAUUAUAGGUAUUGCAUAUCAUAACUAUAUACAUAUCUACAUCGACAACUCUAUGCUACCUAUUGUAUAGUAGCGUUUUUUUCUCACUUGACUUUGUAUAUUUCCAAGGUCACAAUACUCUACACAAAGAUUGUACAAAAACAUACAGUUGUACUACAUGUAGAUAGAUAUUAACAUCGACAACUUUAUGCCAUAUUGUAUAACAUCAUUUGCUCUCGUCUUGACUUUGUACAUGUUCAAGGUCAUCUAAGAUUCUACAAAAAAAAACACCUCCAGCUGUACAACCUUUUGUUAGAAGAUAAUAGUUCUAAUCAUCAUUUGCAUUGCUGCGUGCAUUUUCAUCAUCCAAUCUGGUAGAUGUGUUAAACAUACGGCAAGGGGUGAUAGCAGAAAAUUAUCUAAUGAUCUAGAAGUAAAAUAAUAUAGCUCAUCAAGUUUAUUUAUUCAGAGCCGUCUUUUGUUUACAUUGUCUCAAGGUUUUUUCUGACUGAAGUCACUUUGACAUAUAAAACUGGAUAAAACGUGUUUUCUAAUAAUCUUUAUUUUGAGAGUAGAGUAUACUUCUGUCAGAAUCAGAAUCAGAACCGACCGUGCGAGGGCUGUACAGACAGUCAAGGUCGUUAAAAAUCUCCCUUUUCAUCAGAAUUGCCUUUGAGGACGUUAGUUCAGUGGCGUAUAUUUGAAUUCAACCAUGCUAUUUCAAUUAAACAAAAGAUAUGGUAUGAUUGCCUAUGAGACUACCAUACACCAGAGUUCAAAUCAAGUGGAUGUAAUGUAUGGUCAAUCCAAUAUGAUAUCUCCUAGUGUUUGGAUUGUUUGUCUCCCAGAGUUUGGUAUUCGUAAAUGUCUGCUCUUGUUUAUUAAUUCUGGUGACGCGUUCCUUCAUGAUGCUGUUCUCUCCCAUUCACGUAUUACAUGCUGAAUUUAUUUUAGAUUACCCCUUUUCAACAUUACAUGGAUGUGUAUACGUUGGUUGAUUGAUUUAUUAUUGUUUGCCUUAUGUCCAGUGAUAGAUAUUUCAUGAAAAUAAGGUGACAAUACAUGUAGGUAUGUUCUGUACAGGUGGUCGUUAGGGAUGUAAGGCUGGAUCUUUAGACUGUCAUUGAGGGAGGAAGACAUUUUGAAUAGUGAACCUAAAAAGUUGUUACAAGUAAAAUUGAGAAUGGAAAUGGGGAAUGUGUCGAAAAGACAACCAUUCGACCAUAUAACAGACAACAGCAGAAGGUCACCAAUAGGUCGUUAUAUACUUGUUUAGCGUGUACUAGUCGCACUCUCUAUAUACGAGAUAAGGAGGGUCUGUCUGUUACAUUUUAUGACAGCAUAGUAUUGUACUUGUUUUUCCCACAUUGAACUUGUUAGCUCACCUGGCCGAAAGGCCAAGUGAGCUUUUCUCAUCCUUGCGCCGGGUCCGUCGUCUCGUCCGUCGUCGUCCUGCGUUAACUUUUACAAAAAUCUUCUCCUCUGAAACUACUGGGGCAAAUUUAACCAAACUUGGCCACAAUCAUCAUUGGGGUAUCUAGUUCAAAAAAUGUCCGGUGCCCCGCCCAAGCAACCAAGAUGGCCGCCAUGGCUAAAAAUAGAACAUAGGGGUAAAAUGCAGUUUUUGGCUUAUAACUCAAAAACCAAAGCAUUUAGAGCAAAUCUGACUGGAUUAAUAUUGUUCACCAGGUCAAGAUCUAUCUGCCCUGAAAUUUUCAGAUGAAUCCGACAUUUCGUUGUUGGGUUGCUGCCCCUGAAAUGGUAAUUUUAAGGAAAUUUUGCUGUUUUUGGUUAUUAUCUUGAAUAUUAUUAUAGUUAGAGAUAAACUGUAAACAGCAAUAAUGUUCAGCAAAGUAAGAUCUACAAAUAGGUCAACAUGACCAAAAUGGUCAGUUGACCCCUUUUGGAGUUAUUGCCCUUUAUAGUCAAUUUUUUACCAUUUUUUGUAAAUCUUAGUAAUCUUAUAGAAAAAUCUUCUCCUCUGAAACUACUGGGCCAAAUUUAACCAUACUUGGCCAUAAUCAUCAUUGGGGUAUCUAGUUUAAAAAAUGUGUCCGGUGACCCGGCCAACCAAUAAAGAUGGCCGCCAUAGCUAAAAAUAGAACAUGGGGUAAAAUGCAGUUUUUGGCUUAUAACUCAAAAACCAAAGCAUUAAGAGCAAAUCUGACAGGAAGUAAAAUUGUUGAUCAGGUCAAGAUCUAUCUUCCCUGGAAUUUUCAGAUGAAUCGGAUAAUCGGUUGUUAGGUUGCUGCCCCUGAAUUGGUAAUUUUGAGGAAAUUUUUGCUGUUUUUUUGUUAUUAUCUUGAAUAUUAUUAUAGAUAGAGAUAAACUGUAAACAGCAAUAAUGUACAGCAAAGUAAGAACUAAAAAUAAGUCAGUAUGACCAAAAUAGUCAAUUGACCCUCUAAGGAGUUAUUGCCCUCAUAGUCAAUUUUUAACAAUUUUCUUAAAAUUUGAAGAUUUUCAAUAAACAUUUUCCACAGAAAGUACUGUUAUAGAUAGAGAUAAUUGUAAGCAGCAAGAAUGUUUAGUAAAGUAAGAUCUACAAACACAUCACCAUCACCAAAACACAAUUUUGUCAUGAAUCCAUCUGUGUCCAUUGUUUAAUAUUCACAUAGACCAAGGUGAGCGACACAGGCUCUUUAGAGCCUCUAGUUUUAUUAAAAUCGUCGCUCCAAUAUCUUUUAGGCUUAUUUCGCUUAAAAUUUAAAUGAAUACAUUUAGGUGGUUGUACAUGUUUUGUGCCAGUUCAAAGUUCGUAUUGCAAUGAAAAUCAAUGAUGUUUAAGUAACUAACUUUCUGUGUUCAAUGGUGGAUAGCUGUCUCAUUUGCAAUAAUAGCCCGUCUCCUUAAAGACGCAUCACCAAGUCUUACAAAUAUUUUCGACGAUUUUCUGGUAAAACGUUUAAUUUUGAAGGUGCAUAUCAAUUCUAUAAUAAUAAAACAGCAAAUAUUAUUGUCAAGUUUACCUAAUUACCAUGGAGAUUAGGUACACACAGUAAAGUUUUGUUUAAAUGCCAAACGUUUGUCUGAUCUAGUUGCACCAUCGAGAUCACUUUUAAUUCAAAAGGAUGAUUACAGGAAAACGUAAAGGUGAGCCUUAUUUUUUUUAUUGAAAUUUUCAUUAGCUGAUUCUAUUUUUAGAUUUUCUGUAUUUCGAGCUUGUUUACAUUUUGUGAAUGAAUUCGACAAUUCAUGAAUAUUUUUCCUUUUAAUCAAGUCUGCUUUCAAUUUACUUCUGAUCUGUUUAAUCAGGUCGAGUUUCUACGCUAACAUGUAACCAUAUAGGAUUCUAUGUUUCGCGGUGUCCGGUUCGUUUGCCAAUGGACGUUAAACAACAAACAAUCAAUCAAACAAACACAGUCUAGGUCGCUCGAAUCGUUGUUAACUUAAUAAUACAGUAACUGACUUUUUCAUUUGGUCUACACCAGUAUUUUCAUUUGUUUGAGAGAGUGAUGAUAUCAUGCAAAUUUUGUUCAACAGGAAAAUACAUUUACAUCUUUUGACAAAGAUCAGUGAUGUACAUUUGUACAAACUAUAAUUGUAAAUAGAAGCCCCAUAUUAUCCUUAGUUUGAUAGAGAAGCUUUAAUAUUUCACUUAAUAUUUCACUUGCUUGGUCAGUAGUUUUGAUUAAGAAAUACAUUGUAUUUUAUUAUCAUAUAAAUCUUUGGUUUAUAGGAUAUUUAAGACAUAAUAAAACAUUUUGUAUAUUUUACAAAAUUAAAAGAAAUGGGGUUCUUUAUCAAGAACUAAGCACACAAAGUCUACGAGGACGUAUAAUAUUUUCAUAUCUUACAAUUAUCUCACAUUUCUAAAAAUGUAUAUAAGGCAACAAGAAGUGAAUAGUAUCGGCAAAUUACAAAUACAUCAAUUCAUGUUUGCAUUAAAAAAGUCUAGGGAACGCUAAAACACAAAAACUUGAAAGCAAAUGAUCAUACCUGAAAAAGUUGGAGUGGAACUAACCAAGAGUUACUUUUAAAGACAAUCAAAAUUCAUGUAAGAUCAGCUUUAUCUUAGGCAGUUUACAUCUUAGUUCCUUAAUCAUUUCUAAAUUUAUCAACAAUUUGGUUUUAAAAAGUGUAUCAAUGAGUGGAUUACUGUCGCUUAGGGUAUAAAGUUCUGUUAAGCAUUUAUUUCACCAGCAUUAGUUUAAUCAUUUGAAAAAACAUUAGCCUGUUAUACAUUUCUUUGAUCUAAGGAUUUUUUUAUCCUUUGAUAUAAGUGAAUUGUACUUGGCAAAAAAAGUGUCGACGACCUGUUCUUAAUUGUCUUAUCAGCUCUCAACGUAUAAUAUAUACGUUUUUAGCUUAUCAAAGUAUACAAGCUUUUUAUGUUACACCCAUUAUCUGCCACAGAAUGUAAGAGCGACUUCGAAGAAGAAGCACUGAAGAUAACAAGAACUUAACUGUCUUUUCUAUGGAUUUAUGGCGAAUCCAUCGCCUUGGCUAAUUUGAUUUUAAUGGGUCUACAUGGCGGGAAAAUCAAUUCUAAUAUUGAUUUGACGAGAAGUGAAUAAUUGUCUGAUGCUUACGAGAUGUAACUGUCAAAGCUGAUAUACAUAAGAUUCAUACAAGUGUAAAACAGCUAAUCCAGGGUAAAGUACUUUAGCAGAUUACUGAGAAUCAGAUUAGUUGUUAUAUACUGUAGGUGUAACUGUUCUGCCUUUUAUCUGCAAUCUUUAUUGGCGGGAAUUGUCGUUUACCCUCACUCUCUAUUUUGCGGAAUUGUUGUUUCACCGCAAUCUCUAUUGGCGGGAACCGUUUUUGGUAAACCGCAUUCUUCUUUGGCACUCUAUACGGGUGGUAAAUGUUGUUUACCUGCACCCUCUUUAGGGGAAACUGUUUUUUAACCGCACUACCUAAGUUUAAACAUAAUUAUUUAUUUAUAGUGGAUUGGGAAACAAGUUUUGCAACUUAUAUUAGUUUCUGAAAUUUUCAUCCCGGACUGGGAAUCGAAUUAGGAACCUCUGUGAUAGUAGUCCGAUGCACUAACCACUACAACCUCACUAGUAUUGGUGUGAAUUGUUGUUUUUCCUGCACUUUCCAUUGGCGAGAAAUAUUCGCAACUACAUUUGUCUACAUAGAUGUCCACCCUACAAUAAAUGUUUGUCCUGGUGAUAUAUAUAAUUGAUUGUUCAAUUACCUCAGAAAUAGUUGAUGUUUAUAUUGGUUUGGCUAUACUGUAUGCGAAUCUUUUUAGGUUUUACAAUCUAAAAAAGCUUCGUUUUGAGCGUUUCUGAUUAAAGUAAGCGAAAAAGCGAUUCAGAACUUUUCUUGAUUUUCUUAAUAUCUAUGCAUUAUUAUAAGAAAUAUUAAAAAUCACAAAUUUGUUCAUGACGACGUUUUCUUUAGUAUUAUUUUAUUGUUGUAUACUCAUUUUGUUUAAAAAAACACUUAACUUUCUCGAAGAAGUAAAAAAAAUGAAUACAUGAUGACAGAGUAUGUCUGAUAAAGUGCUGAACAUUCAGCUAAAACCCACAAUUGUCAAUAUUUCCCUGUAAGAUCACCCCCAGUUUUUAGAGGGGUGUAUGUUACUUAGUCAUUAUUUUUCUGUGUUGUAUUCUAUGUACUGUUGUUUGUCUUGUUUAUUUAGUUUUUAUACCCUUGGCAUUGUCAUCUUAUUUUCAAUAUAUGAGUUUGACUGCCCCUCUGGUAUCUUUCUCCCCUCUUUUACAACUUGUGAUGAUGAAGAUUAACAUAAAAAAUAUUACAGUUAAGAAUGUAUGUAUCACAAGUCCUACAAAUGGCCAAAUAUCAACUACUUGACAAAUAAAAACCUUUUGGACUAAUGUUUCACCAGUCUUUCACAGAGGCGGAUUUUGGUUGCUUAUAUAGGGAAUCAUCGAAGCGUGACUGGAGCGGGCCCCCUCUUAGGUCAGUCAGAGGGCCCCCAAUUAUGAAAAUUUCUGGAUCCGCCACUGUUUCAAACCACUCGGUUACGGCAAAUCAACGUUUUAUGUCGUUUGGAGUUGUGUUGGACCUAAAUUAACCUUUUCCAGGAAUCAUCAAAUGCUAUUAGAAAAUAAGUCGGAAUUAUGGUUUUAGAAACUAGUUUUCUAAUUCAUUUUGUUAUCUUAUUGAUUGCCGAAUGCAACAUUUGUUGUUUUAUUGCUUCUAAAAGCGUUUAAUUGUUCGUGUUAAACAUCUUAGAUGUGUUUUUUUUUCUAAAAUGAGCGUUUCCUGUUUAUUGCAUUUUUAGUCAAGUAUUAUAUGAUAAUGAUAUAAAAAAAAUCCUGCAUACUGUAAUGCAUCGGGAUAUGCCUGUAUUGAAAAUGAAAUUGACGAUUAGAUCCAUUUAGGUCACACUUUUCUAAAGUAUAAAUUGAUUCUUGAAAAAACCUCUGUCUUCAAUAAAAUUCCAGUUACUGUUUUCCAACAACAAAAAAACGGAUAUAAAGAAUGAAUCUAGAUAGGAAAAGUUGUAGAAAUAUUUGAAAUGGGACAAUUUCGUUGAUGUUAAUUUAAUGCUAGUAUAUUUUAGUAAGCUUUUUAAAAGAUAACAGGUUUAAGCACAAUGACACCGUCAAUGAUCUCAUUGUAAUAUUCCCGAUUGUGACAUUUGAACGGAUUUUGAAUUUUUAUUUGUCUGCAUGCGGAAACGCUCGCUCUGUCUCGCUUUUUUUUUUUUAGAAAUUUUCCAAAUCCUUUAGUUGUUGUUUGUUACCUUGAGUUAUCUUUCCCUGAUCGAUUUAUGACCUUUGAACAUCGGAAAACUAGUCUUCUGUUGCCUUAAUUUAUUUUGCAUAUAUGUUUCUUGUUUCUCAGAAUUAUUUCAUUUUAUUGUUAAAAAGUAUAUGAGUUGUUUAAACUAAUGGUAAGUUAAAGUAGAAGUAGUGUAAAUGCAAUGAGGCGACAGCAAAACUUCAUAACAAACCCAAUAUGUUUAGGCUUUUAUAUAGAUAUCUUAAACGGAGAAAUAGUCUAGUUUAUUUUUAAAUGACUGUAAUACGUAUAUAAACUCAUCAUAGAUACCAGGACUAAAUUAAGUAUAUUUAGUAUAACGACUCAUCAGUGACGCUCGAAUCCAAAAAAGUUAAAAUGGCCAAAUAAAGUACGAAGUUGAAGAGCAUUGAGGACCAAAAUUCCUAAAAGUUUUGCCAAAUACAGCUAAGGUAAUCUAUGCCUGAGGUAGAAAAGCCUUAGUUUUUCAAAAAAUUCAAAAAAUUUGUAAACAGUAAAAUGUUGCAGUGUCCGAUUAGAUUUUCGAGCAAUAUUUUUGCAGCUACGCCCGGUCGGAAUUGUAUGACUUUAUUUUGAUAAAUUGGCCCUCUUUUAGCUCAAAAAGGUCUUUUGAAAUGAAUGUCGAAUUUGGUCAUAUCUUUUCCGAGUGUCACUUCAAUAGGAAGGAUUAUAAGAGCCAUAAUUUGGACAUUGAAUGUGCAAAAAUAGUAGUUUGAUAUAAUCAGCAAAAUGUAUUGCAUACAAGUUACUUGAUAUGUCAUUAACCUAACAAAAUUGACGUAUUUGAGCCAUUUCGCACAAAGCCUGUUGUUAUUAUAUAUAUAAGAAGAACAACUGUCAAAAUGUUUUCAUCUUGCUCCGCUCGGAACUUUUCUGGAAUGGUCCCUCCUUUCAAAAAUCCAACAUCCGUCCAUAACAAGUGCUUUAAACUUCUAGAAUAUGCACUGUUGUGUAAUCCGUGUGGGAACCAUUAUAUGAUUACAUAUUUCUGCAAGAAAAUAUAAAAUAUAAAAAGAACUGAUUUAAUUAUAUAAAGAAAGUUGUAUAAUCCGGAACAGAUGCAAAUAGAUGUAUAUCUUUAAAAUAAUUCUUUAACCAUAUGACAUUAUGCAUUUAGUUAGCGCACGUAAGAUUUAAUUACGGUGUGAACAGUCAAUUAAAUUACUUGUAUAAGAAAAUUGUGAUAUUUUUUUAAUGUUUUGAUUAACAUCUUUUAAAUCAUUAUUUACAAGUCUUGAUAAAAAUCUCUCAGUUCUGCUUUGGUAUUUGACGAUGUCUGACAAACUGUGCUAAAUUGUAAUGUUUCUGUCCACCUGUUUAUUCGAUAGUUUGUCACGCUCUUAUUCAGCGGUUUGACAGAUUUCGUAUUCAUCAAUUAUGUGUUGUGCAUAUUUACACAUGUAUACCUUUUUAAGUCCGCCCCCUCCUUUUUACCACAUAUCAAAUGGUCGCCUUUUCUUUUAUAAAUAUUCAUAGCAAAAUUCAGUAGUGGUUAUUUUUUUUCAAGUCUUAAUUGUAAUUUUUUAUUAUUAUGUUGUUGUUGUUUUGUAUUGUAUUAGUUGCUUUUUAGAAUUGAAUGUUGAGGCAAAUCAAAUUAAGAUGUGAAACAUUUAUAUAUAGCCUAAAGGAUAACUUUUUAAAGUUUUUAUUUGUUUAACUAGCGCAGGCAAACCAUGUUCUAAUUUUCCCCCAGCUGAUCAAAUUUAUCCUGCUUUAAACAAAUUUCAGCAUCAAUCCCGAAAAAGAUUGCAAACACAUGCAACAAUAUCAAUCAUGGAUUCAUAAUCUUGAACCUCUUAGUACAUUGCCAUAAUCUGAAAAUGACAGAUGAGGUACGUUUACAUUUCAUUGAUAAAUUUUCUUACCUUGAGAAAUAUAUAUAACUACGUAAAAUUACAAGAAUGAGCUUUAAAUCAUGUAAAUGUAUUAACCCUUGAAAACUGACAAACAAUUAUGCAUUUUGACAGUUUCUUCACGAUGUCAGUACCAAUUUGGAAUUUAAUUGAAGAGUAACACAGACAUUCGGCAAAUGUAUUCACGACUGUUUCUUUUUAUCCACAGAGCCAGAAAAUAUAUUCAUUUGAAUCCUAUACCUUUUUAUUCCUUGGUUUUGUAAUAUUUAGGAUCACGAUACAGAAAUAAAAACCAUUGCCUUGAUACCUUCUCCAUUAUUGUCAAGGGAACAAACUCGAUGUAAAUAAACUCACCAUAGAUACCAAGACUCAAAUGUUUUACGCCAGACGUGUAACUAUGGCACGCCGUUAUUAUAUUUAUUCAAUUUCGAGAUAUCAUAUUUAGUUAAAUAAGAUAUCUUAUAAACUAAUUGAGAUAUCUUAAUAACAAAAUGAGAUAUCUUAUAUAUUAAUUGAGAUAUCUGAUUUAUUAAAUAAGAUAUCUUAUAUAUUAAAUAAGAUAUCUUAUUAAAAUGUUUAUUAAGAUAUCGUAUUAAAUAUAUAAGAUAUCUUAUUUAAAAUAUAAGAUAUCUCUAUUAAUUUAUAAGAUAUCUUAUUAACUAUAUAAGAUAUCCUUUAUAUAGUUAAUAAUAAAGAUAUCUUAUUUACUUAAUAAGAUAUCUCCAUAAGUUAAUAAGAUAUCUCUAUUAGUUUAUAAGAUAUCUCUAUUAGUUUAUAAGGUAUCUCUAUUAAUUAAUAAGAUAUCUUAUAAAGUAUGUAUUUAAAAGAUAUCUUUAUAAAGAAGUAAGAUAUCUUAUAUACUUUAUAAGAUAUCUUAUUAAUUAAUAGAGAUAUCUUAUUAACUUAUAGAGAUAUCUUAUAAAUUAAUAGAGAUAUCUUAUAAACGUUUAGAGAUAGCUUAUUAACUUAUAGAGAUAUCUUAUUAACUUAUAGAGAUAUCUUAUAAACUAAUAGAAAUAUCUUAUAACUUUUAGAGAUAUCUUAUUAACUUAUAGAGAUAUCUUAUAAACUAAUAGAGAUAUCUUAUAAACUUUUAGAGAUAUCUUAUUAACUUAUAGAGAUAUCUUAUUUAAUUGGUUCUAAAGAUAUCUUAUUUAAUAUAUAAAAUAUCUCUAUAAGUUAAUAAGAUAUCUUUAUUAGUUUGUAAGAUAUCUCUAUUAAUUAAUAAGAUAUCUUAUAAAGUAUGUAUUUAAAAGAUAUCUUUAUAAAGAAGUAAGAUACCUUAUAUACUUUAUAAGAUAUCUUAUUAAUUAAUAGAGAUAUCUUAUUAACUUAUAGAGAUAUCUUAUAAACUAAUAGAGAUAUCUUAUAAACUAAUAGAGAUAUCUUAUUUACUUUCAAAUUGAAUAAGAUAUCUUAUAAAAAUUAAAGAUAUCUUAAUACUUAAUAAGAUAUCUUGUUAAAUAAAUAAGAUAUCUUCAAAUUUGAAUAAAUAUAAAAACGGCGUGCCAUAUGUAACAGGGUGAAGAAACGGAGUCAGUUUUGUCUGAUUUUUCUUUAUAGCUCAAUAUUUUAUUUCUUUACUUGUAAUUUUCCUCGUAGUUGUUUUGUUUCUUUAUUGUUUACUUAUAUAUUACACAUGUACAAAAUGUAUGUUUUCUUCUAGUUUGUUACGUAGAAAAUGUUUGAUUUUUUUUUUACUACUAUAUCUAUAAAUCAUUUUUAAGGUAAACUGACAGUAGAAUGUUACUGAAAAUAUAAUAUUUGUAAUGCAUUUAAAAGUUAUAUCUAAGUGGUGAGAUAAUUUUAGAAACAGAUAGCUAAAGAUAGAAUAUCAGACAUAUUACAAUAAAACAGCAAUCAUGCAAUUAUUACUGUACUGCAGUUAAACACCAUAUCGUAAAAUAUUGUAUGAAUCAAAUCAAAUCAUUUAAGUUUAAAAUAGAAACAAAUAAGACUUAAAUGCAAAACGUAUUGAUAUUAAAAGCAAUGUUACAACAAUCAUCCGACACAGACAGCAUCAAAAAGCUUCACAAAAAAAAUGAAACUAUGUUUCACAUUUUUCAUUUCUGGAUCUUUUAUAGCUGACUAUAUAUGCAGUGGCGGAUCCAGCCAUUUUAAAAAAAGGGGGGGGGGGUCCCAACCCAGAGUAAGAGGGGGGGUUCCAACUAUAUGCUUCCAUUCAAAUGCAUUGAUCGGCCAAAAAAAGGGGGGUUCCAACCCCCGGAACCCCCCCCUGGAUCCGCCACUGAUAUAUAUAUAUGGCAAAAUUUUCUCAAUGUUGAAGGCCAUACGGUUGCCUUCAAUUGUAUAUGUAUAUGUCGUGUAUAAGUUGCAAUUUUGUACAAGUUAUAACAUGUACAAAUAUAUUUUACAUAAUUUGUACAAUGCUAAAAUACAAGUUAUAACAUGUACAAAAGUACCUCAUACAUGUUAAACAUGUACAAAAUAUUGCUUUAAAAUGGGUUUAACUUGGACAAGAAAUGUUUCUAUUAUUACAUUAGCUUCAAUAAUAUUUUCAUCAUUUUUUUGUUAAUGCCCAUUUAUGUUUAACAGUUUGAUUCCUUUUUGAUACAGUUAAUGACCAGAUAAUUCAAUUUAAUGAUUUCUUAAAAUACCUUAAAACAGGGAGUGAGUGUUUUCGGAUAUUAUACUGGAAUCGUUGAUGAAUGACUUUGUUGCUUUUUGUCCUAACACUGGUUCUAUGUUGUGAGUCAUCUUCCACUUUUAAAAAUGAGCUUUCUUCCUUGUCAUAGUAACCAUUGAUAGUUUUAAAGUUUUUAGUCUCAUUGGAUAACUCAUGUCUUUGAGAGCUGGUAAACUGUAGUUGUUUUGUUACCCUUCUUUUGACUCCUUCUAUUUUAUCAAUGUUGUUUUUCUUGUAUGGAGACCAUACUGAACUAGCAUAGUCCAAAGGAGUUCUGACCAUGGUUUUAUAAUGGUAUGAAUGUCUCAAAAAUGGAGAUGGCAUUAUUCACUUGUUCGCUUAUGUGAGUUCUGAGUCGAUUAGGACUUCUAUGUCUCUUUCCUCUUCAACCUUUGCUAUUGUAUGAUUUAGAAGACUAUAAUUUGGUGAGUGUUCAGUGUUAUUUGUUUUCUUACAUAUUUUCAUGUAUUUAGAUUUUUAUAGAAGGCAGCUGUACUCUUAGUCUGGUAGGUGUAAAUGUAGAAGAAUGAAAGUUUUGUGCAACUCGAGGUUUCACAUAUCUCUGUCUUGUAGCAAAUGUAUGAAAAUUUACUAUUGUAUGCAUGCUUGCAUUGUGUAAAUAAUGCACCUUCCUUUGCUUUUGAUUAUUGUUCUUUAUUAUUUGAUAAAUUUCAAUCUUUCAUGUAUAUUCUGCUUUAUUAUUAUUUUCAAAUUUUGUACAAGUUAAAACCAUUUUCCAGCAAUAUUUUGUUAUAACAUGUACGAGGUACUUUUGUACAUGUUAUAACUUGUAUUUUAGCAUUGUACAAAUUAUAACAUGUACAAUAUUUUUGUACAUGUUAUAACCUGUACAAAAUGCAACUGGUAAAGGACAUAUACAUCUUUAUUACCAAAGUCUAUAUAAACUAUAGGUAAACAAUUAUAUCAACAUCAAUUGAUUACAUCUUCUUCAUUUGAACUGAAAUGAGUGCACCGCACUUACGUCGGUCUAAAGUUCAAAUUAGGGUACAAUAAGUGGCCGUAGAUUUUUUUUUUCAAAUUCGUUUUCGAAAAGUUUGCGUAAUUUGGUGUUACCCAAGUGAUAUGCUCGAAUAAUAAACAUACGACUGACGUAUUGCAUGAGGUUGCACAGAAGUAGAAAAUACACUAAUUAACAUUCAGAGUCAGUGCAUGCAGAUUAAUGUUACGUCCGUGGAACUGCUUAACAAGCUUGUCUUAUUUAAGUUGUCGUGAAUGAAGGAUGCCAACCAGGAGCAAUAUUGAUUUUACAGAAACUGUUACAGUAAACAAAUCUUGUUACGAAGAUGUCAUUAAUCACACUGUCUGAAGAAUAUUCUUUCUGUUACUCAAAUAACAAGUUCAAAUCUAUUUCUAUCACCAUUUGCACCCUUUUCAGUCAGAUAGAUUGGAUCUUAAUUUAUCAAUUCUGUUUAUAGAAGAUUCAGUCAUGGGAUAAAACGUUUGCUUACCAAUAUAAUUAGAUGGUAUUCUUUACAAUAAGAAGGAAUAUAAUGAAGUUGAAUAAGUAACUAAUCUGUUCUUCGAGAUGGCGAGGUAUUUUUCAGCCGAUAGAAUAGUUGUUGGUUCAGUUACUUUCGUUUUGUGCAGAACAGAUUGCAAAAGCAUAAAAAUGGUAUAAAACAUAUAUUACUGAGUGCUUUGUUGUCGAGUUGACUGUCCUUCGAUAGCAACAUAUUUAAUAUUCAUUAUUCUGUAAAUAACGUAUACAAAACAAUGAUCUGUGUUGGUAACUUCGACUUUGACCGUCGUCUGUUAAAUGAAUCAUAAACAAAACAUUUAUGACGAGGAUCUUAGUAUCUUACUUCAUGAUGUUUAAAAUAGAUUGAUUAUUGAUUGUUUAAAUGUCAGUGGCAAAUAUUUCAUACAUGUUAAGAGACUUAUGGACCGUAACUGCACAGCACUGUGGAUUCAUUUCUUCCGUUGUACAAUUUUCGUCAAUUGGAAAAAACUAAAACAGAUUUUUUCGUGGAUAUCUGGUUUCAUGGCUUUGCAUAUAAGCCUAUAGAUAAUUUGUAAUUCAUUGAUAAUUUAAAUUCGUGGUUCACAGGUUCCGCGACAUCCACAAAAAUUGGUAUCACACGAAUUAAAUUGAAUCCAAAAUUUUUACAAAACGAGACCAUUUCGACCAAUAGUUCGUAUGAAACCUGGUCCGCAGCCGAACAAACAUCCCAAUGUACAAAUGAUAUUGCAAAAAGGGUCACGGAGGUCGAGAUCACUAUAUCACUUGUUGUGAAAUUCCCAAUAUUGAUUGACGAGAGUUCUUAGUUUAUUGAACUUUUUGCACCAGUCAACAGAAGCAGACUUAAUUUACUGAUAGAGAAAAUCCUUCGCGGUGGUUUACAUAAUCAUAAACAGUUUUUCCUUUGUAAAGGACAAUGACCCUGCAAAAUAGAUAUUUUUGUUGAAUAUCAAAUAUUAUUAUGGACGUAAAACAUUUGCACAGAAAUAGCACAAAUACAUUUUCAUCGCAUAUUUUUGUGUCAAUACUAAAGAGUCCUGGAUACAUUGUUAAAGUAGAGUAUACAGGUAUGCAUAACGUCUUCAUAUAUUAAGGACAACUUUGCGGGUUUCGCUAAAUACAUAAAAAAUUAUACAUGUAUAAUCCUUCGUCGCUAAGGUCAAAACGUUUAUGUUUGAUUUAUUGCGAGAUAGUGUAUUUGAGGUGAUGUACUCUUUUUUUUUCCAACUAAAAAUGCUGUUACUUUAUUGAUUUUACCUUAGUAUCAAUUUCUAUCAAUUUGAUGAUUAGAAAAAAUCGUUGUCACUAUAUGAUCCUAUAUUAUACUUACUCUAUGUUCUGUGUUUUCGUUGUUUUAAAAAAUAAAUUAAUAAUUCAAGUUGGUGAAAAUAAGGAAGACGUUCUCAAGUAAAAAGGUCAUAAAAUGUAAUUUGAUAAUAAGUGAGCCAAUAAUUUAUCAUCCGAAAAAUUAUGUAAUUUCACAAUUAUAGCUGGUACAUUAUUAUAUUUCAAAGUUAAAUCAUGCCUCAAAUUUUAAGUUUAUUAGUUCGUUUAUAUUUCAAGCAAGAAUUCAUGUAUAUUUCUUUAUCAUAUCAUGUUCGUCGUUUAUUUGUUUACUCUGAAGCAUACAAGAAAUUAUUCAUAUUUCCUCAAGGUAAAUAAUAACUAACAUUUAUUUAUUUAUGAAUUGAAUUAUAAUUUUAUCAUAAAUCUGUAAUGCAUCACGCCUAUAUGUAAAUGCAUUAGAAAAGUAAAACGGUUUAAUGAUUAUUUGUUUAAAUUUAUGUAUCAUGGAAGAAAAUGAAGCCUCAUAAAUUUUACAUUUUAAAUGUAAAAUAUUCGAAAGUCGAAAGUAAUAUACACGUAGUUAAAAGGUGUUUUCCGUGAUCAUUUUAUUUUAAUUAAUUCUUAAAAUGUUAAUGUUGUUAUUUUGAUGUUUUUGUUGAUUUUAUGACAAGUCAUAAACAUCAGUUGAACAACAAAAGGUAAAAAGGUAUACCAUCCACACACAUUACCUUAAGUUUUAUACCAAUAUAUAUAAUGAAAGUUGAGAUUCUUUAAUCAAUUCUUAUUCAAAUGCAUUACAGUACUACUUAAAUCUGUUUUGGUUUUUAAGACUAUUCAAUAUCGGUUUCAAUUAUUUUAGAUUGAAUAAAACCUUCAGUUAAUCCCGUCACCAAAUACAAUAUAUUAUCUACUAUUAACCAAGCAUCUAUAAUACUAAAAUUACGAGUCAAUGUCGCGUAUCACGUAAAACGACGAUCAAAGAAUUCAACUUUAUAUAUGACUAAUAUAAUAUCAAAGGUGUGAGAUUAAAAAUUACACCACUCCAGACCCUUUUGUUUUCACGUAAUUAAUAUUGCAUAAUAAGAAGUUCCGAUCGAGUCGAUACGAUAUCAAAGUAUAUUCACCUGUUACCUAUUACCUUAUUGACGUCCCGCAUCUGACAGGCGCACACCAAACGGUAUUCAGAUUAAUAUGCUAUAUACACGGGUCAUAAUCACGGGUUGACACUACUAAAUUGUCAAAUUGUACUAUUGUAGUAUUUUAACAGUAAGACUUUCUAAGUGCAAUACGAAUACUAAAAAUCUGUGACUAAAAAAGGCGUAUAGGUAAGUUCAAUUUGUUAGCGGACAUGACGUAAACAGCGAAUUAAAAAUUCAACUUAUUAUACUAAUAUAGGAUAAUGCUGUUGAUUAAAAAAUACUCCAUUCCAGGCUUUGUUUCCAAAAUUAAUAUUACCAUAAUUGAUAAGUUCCAGUCGACGGUUCAAACAGAAAGAUUUGAAAGAAAAGAAACUUGUUCUUAUAAUCGGCAUGACUUAUCAGAUGACAAUAUAAUACUAAAAUAAGGCUUGCGAUAGUAUAUCUUUAAUUCAGCAUGACCCGCGAUAUACGGUGUGUUCUAGUAAUAAUAAUAAGGGUGAAGGUUGGACCUAUUAAAACGUGUAAACCAUCUGCAAUUGUUUGCACCUGUCCUAAGUCAGGAACUCAUACCACAUCUUUUUAUAUCUAUGAACAACAAUGCCUGGAAUCGCAAUGAUCGAAUGAGACUUUUAUCAACAGAGAAGGACAACUUGAUAUAUCCGUUGGUUUUUCGUUUCAAUUGUUUUGGAUUGAGUUAUGUCUGGGGUCCUUUAAAUGCCUUCUAUAUAGUAUGAAUCUGCUCAUUGUUAAAGUCCGUGCGGUGACUUAUAGUUGCUUAAUAUAUCUAAUAUAUCUACUUCAUUGUUUCUAAUGUGGAUUGUUGUCUUGACAAUCAUAUCUCAUCUUUAUUUUUUUAUAUACAGAGACAUGGAAACAUUUUAUAGUGCCUUAACAGAGGCAAAAGUAUAGUUUUUUUAACAUUUGUUUUUAUAUACAAACCCAUUGCUUAUCGAAAUACCUAUUUUUUUAUUAUUAUUAUGCCAAUAGUUAUAUGAAUAUGUGUCAGGUUGAUAUAGUUAAUUUCGCAAAGGCAAAACGCAUCAACGGUCAACUGGACUCCAAACGUUGCAACUUUUUUGUGCAUUUAGGGUCCACCUCAGAAAUACAAAGCAGUACUAAUUGUCUAUCUAAUGCCGCUUAUCUGUUACAGUAGUUGUUAAUCAAAUAGCAUCCAACCAUAUAAAGAGUUGUUCGAGCUUCAAUUCACAAUAGAUUUGAGUGGGAACAUUUAUCUUUUCUUUUUCAAAUUGCACUUACACAUAGGGAAUAUUUAUUCGUCUAUAAAUUAUGCAAUGAAAUUAUGUCAAAACAAAUUUUCGAAUAUUUAGAUUUUAUCGCAUAUUUUAAGUUUAUUAUUGCAUUAAAUAUUUUGUGCAUGACAUCACAUUUUAUGUUGCAUUACAGAAGUUAUUUAUACCUGCCCAAGGUAACACUUACCUUUGAAAGAUGCAUUAAAUAUAUACAUAAAUUAAAUGUGGAAUGUAAUACAACAAAUGAAGUAGAAAAUUUUUAUAGUGACAAAUCUAAUAUAAGUAACAUUCGCUUACUAUGGUUAAUAACUACAGUGUAACCUAUGUGAUUCGACACACUGGGGGACAAGAAAAAAAAUGUAAGAUUAAGCAGGGGUCAGAGUAUUCAGGUUUUUAUUGCAAGGAUAGGAUUUUUGGACCACGAAUAUGUGUCGGUUAAAGCAGAUUGUUGGAAUACUCAGGUGUCGGAUUAGGCAGGUUACACUGUACUUGGCUGUAUUUUGAAUAUGGUAUUGACGUUACCUUCUUCUAAAGUGUAUAUUCAUUUAGAAUUUUAAUGCAAAUUAAGAUCUGAUUCUAUUUUGAUUUUAGUCUUGUAUGUAUUUCUUUCCUUAUAUGAUAGUUAUAAAAAACACUUUAUACCGUUAAACAUAAAUUUGUACAUGAAGUGAUUUGAGCCUUUUUCCAUGCAAACUUACGAGAGUCAAGUGUUAUACUUUCACGUUAAAAUGCUGCAAUAAUUCCAGUAAUUUGUAAUCUGUGUUGUCUUUUUCUCGUUAAAAUUGAUUAUUUUAUUUUGUUGAUUAUAUAAAAGUCAAUAUAAAUUCCUCAGAAAAUGUUAUCAAUCCAAAUCGGCUUCUAAAAAAACUGCUUUUAAUCAAAGAAAAACUUGAAAUCUUCUAAAUAAGUUUGAAAUAAUGUCUUGAACAAAUGUAGGCACACAUUUAAUUGUCAAAUUUUAAAUUGGGCGACAUCAAGAUAUCAACAACGAAAAAAAAUCUGACUGUAUUCUAUAGUGUCAUUUCAAGUCACCUAAUCAUAAGAAUCGAGAAACUUGCAGACGCAUUCUAAGACAUAUAUAAGUGAAUUUAGAGUGAUCGAUGAUGAUUACAAAAGCAUUGUCAGGAGAUAUCGUCAACAAGACAGACUAAUUUGGCAACCGGAAAUAAUUUCAAUACAAGAUUCAAUUAUAAUUCAUCUUAGUAACUGUCUUGUAUAAUUCAAUCUUAAGACAUACUAUUAUACUAAUAUAUUAUGGUGUUAUAUUUCCACCUUUAUAUCUUGAAUAUUAUCUUACAUUGUGUCCAUUUUUACGUUUUCAAUCAGGGUUUCAGUGAAAGAAAGUUGUUAUUAAACCGCGGGUUCCUUACUGUAACAUUGAUAUCAUUAUUUUGAUGACAAUAAUGGAAUCUCAGAAUGGAAUAAUGUCACAAAUGACCCCCGUUUGAUGUUCCAUUUGUCUGCGGUUCAAUCCUUUUCUUCAGUCCCAUUUCCUUUUUUAUGCCCCACCUACGAUAGUAGAGGGGCAUUAUGUUUUCUGGUCUGUGCGUCCGUUCGUCCGUUCGUCCGUCCGUCUGUCUGUCUGUCUGUUCGUCCGUCUGUCCCGCUUCAGGUUAAAGUUUUUGGUCAAGGUAGUUUUUGAUGAAGUUGAAGUCCAAUCAACUUGAAACUUGGUACACAUGUUCCUUAUGAUAUGAUCUUUCUAAUUUUAAAGCCAAAUUAAACUUUUGACCCCAAUUUCACGGUCCACUGAACAUAGAAAAUGAAAGUGCAUGUUUCAGGUUAAAAUUUUUGGUCAAGGUAGUUUUUGAUGAAGUUGAAGUCCAAUCAACUUGAAACUUAGUACACAUGUUCCCUAUGAUAUUAUCUUUCUAAUUUUAAUGCCUAAUUAUAUUUUUUAUCCAAUUUCACGGUCCAUUGAACAUGGAAAAUGAUAGUGCGAGUGGGGCAUCCGUGUACUUUGGACACAUUCUUGUUAUUACAUCUUUUUAUAAUCAUUACUCCUUGUGCCAACUAUGGAACGGGAAGUGCUUACCCUUCCGGAGGACCUGCGUUAAAUGUUUGGAUGGUUUAGUGUUUCGAAAUCUUAAGUCUUCUGUAAAUUGGUUUCUGUACUGUUGUUUGUCUUUUCCAUGGGAUAAUUUCUGUCUCCUUUUUAUUCUCCUGAUAUUUUUCAUUAAAAGCGUUGAUUUAAAUUCUAAGUAUUUUAUAAGCAUGGAAUAAAUCUUUCUUAAAUUUACUGUAUUUGAUAUAGCGUAAGAUGAAUAUUCCUUAAUUGAAACAAAAAAAACAAUAUUGAAUUGAAUUGUUAUGUUCUCCGUUAUAAAUGAAUAUUACAAUAUAAGAUCGAGAUAUUAUCUAACUUUAUUGUCAUCAAUUUCCUUAAUGUCUAAUAUUUUUUAGUAUUGAUUCGAUGAAAAAAAGCUGUAGUCGUUGUAUAUGUAGCUAUUAAUCCUUCUGUCUGAACAGAAAAUUGUUUAUUUUAAGGAGAAUCUUUUUCAAUUAUAAGACGGAAUUGUUAAUAAUUAUCAGGCGGAAUUGUUUUCUUUUUUAUUAUAUUGAUCUGACAUCAGAGAAACGGAGCCAUGUAACGAAAAUGCGAUAACAAUUUGUUGUAGAUUAUCUAGUGCAGAAGAAUAAAAUCAUACGAACUAGGUUAUAUAAAUUGAUAUAUCAUACAGUAAAUCCCCAAUAAAUCAAGGAAAUAAGUGAUGCGGACAUAUUUGUACUCUAGAAUUGCAAGGCAUCAAAGUGAGAUAAAACGAAUUUAAUGCGUACGAAGCACUUUUUUCGGAUUAACCUUAAUCAUUAAUGCCCAAAUCAACACAUAACCAAGGAUAAGUACCAAGGUUCACUUUUAACAGUUCUGCCCAAAGCAACAUAUUAUCAGGUAUAAAAACCAGCAAGGCCACUUUUCCUGAUUUAACUUUAUCAGUAACGAACACAUUAUCAAGGAUAAGUCCACAGUAGACUUUUCCCAGUAAUCUACAAGUAAAACAUUACCAAGAGUAAAUACAAAAAAAAAGAGUCUUUUUCCAGAUUUCCCUUUGUCAGUAACGCUCUAAGCAACACAAUUACAAGAGAAAGUACUAAAGUGCACUGUUACCAGUUAUACUCAAAGCAACACAUUACCGACGAUAAAUAGCGAGGUGCACUUUUUAGUAACACUCAAAGCAACACAUUACCAAGGAUAAAUACCAACAAGGAGCACGUUUCAAGAUUUACCUUAAUCGGUAACGCCCAAAGUAACACAUUAUCAAGGUAAAAUAGCGAGGUGCACUUUUUAGUAACACUCAACGCAACAUAUCACCAAGAAAAUACACUGAAAAAGGCAUUAAAUAAGAGAAUAAAUACCAUAAUAGGAACGUUACUUUUUUGUUUACAUACAUUAUUGCAUAUGAUUUUCCUAUUUGAAUUGGUUCACACUGGUCAUUUUUGAGCCCUUUUUAUAGCUUGAUGUUCAAUGUAAGCCAAGAUUCCGUGUUGAAGGCCAUACCUUUACCUAUAAUGGUUUACUUUUUUUUCAUUGUGACUUGGAUGGAGAGUUGUAUCAUUGGCACUCAUACCACAUUACUAUUUAAGUUUACAGUAAGAUUACAUCCUUAUGAUGUCAAAGGAAAAUUGAGCGUGAGAAUUGGAGAGACAAUAUCCUAAUGAAUCAGAACUAUCAAAGUUAAAGUGACAUACAAUUAACCUAUAUAUUUUGAUGUAAGUACAAAACCAUUAUGAAGUGCUUCACUUCACAGCUGGUAACCAGUAGAUUUCCUUUAACUGCUU